CCUGGUCUUGACAUCCACAGAAGAAUCCAGAGAUGGAUUUGUGCCUUCGGGAACUGUGAGACAGGUGCUGCAUGGCUGUCGUCAGCUCGUGUUGUGAAAUGUUGGGUUAAGUCCCGCAACGAGCGCAACCCUUAUCCUUUGUUGCCAGCGAUUAGGUCGGGAACUCAAAGGAGACUGCCAGUGAUAAACUGGAGGAAGGUGGGGAUGACGUCAAGUCAUCAUGGCCCUUACGACCAGGGCUACACACGUGCUACAAUGGCGCAUACAAAGAGAAGCGACCUCGCGAGAGCAAGCGGACCUCAUAAAGUGCGUCGUAGUCCGGAUUGGAGUCUGCAACUCGACUCCAUGAAGUCGGAAUCGCUAGUAAUCGUGGAUCAGAAUGCCACGGUGAAUACGUUCCCGGGCCUUGUACACACCGCCCGUCACACCAUGGGAGUGGGUUGCAAAAGAAGUAGGUAGCUUAACCUUCGGGAGGGCGCUUACCACUUUGUGAUUCAUGACUGGGGUGAAGUCGUAACAAGGUAACCGUAGGGGAACCUGCGGUUGGA
rnacentral:rRNA from 1 species